rnacentral:RNase_P_RNA from 2 species
GGAGUCUGCCGGACAAUCGCUGUUCUGCUUGCAGGAGGGAGGAAAGUCCGGGCUCUACAGGCAGAGUGCCAGAUAACGUCUGGGCGGCGUGAGCCGACGGAAAGUGCAACAGAAAGUAUACCGCCUAAGGGCUUUUCGAAGUCACGGUAAGGUUGAAAUGGUGCGGUAAGAGCGCACCGCGUGGGUGGCAACACUCCACGGCGAUGGAAAACCCCACUCAGAGCAAGACCAAAUAGGGAUCCUUAAGGUGUGGCCCGCACUGGAUCCGGGUAGGUCGCUUGAGGUGCAUGGUGACAUGUAUCCCAGAUGAAUGAUUGUCCCCGACAAAACCCGGCUUACAGGCAGACUCCCACA